GACGAACGCUGGCGGCGUGCCUAAUACAUGCAAGUCGAGCGAAUCAAUGGGAGCUUGCUCCCUGAGAUUAGCGGCGGACGGGUGAGUAACACGUGGGUAACCUGCCUGUAAGACUGGGAUAACUUCGGGAAACCGGAGCUAAUACCGGAUACUUUCUUUUCUCGCAUGAAGGAAGAUGGAAAGAUGGUUCUGCUAUCACUUACAGAUGGACCCGCGGCGCAUUAGCUAGUUGGUGAGGUGACGGCUCACCAAGGCAACGAUGCGUAGCCGACCUGAGAGGGUGAUCGGCCACACUGGGACUGAGACACGGCCCAGACUCCUACGGGAGGCAGCAGUAGGGAAUCUUCCGCAAUGGACGAAAGUCUGACGGAGCAACGCCGCGUGAGCAAAGAAGGCCUUCGGGUCGUAAAGCUCUGUUGUUAGGGAAGAACAAGUACGAGAGUAACUGCUCGUACCUUGACGGUACCUAACCAGAAAGCCACGGCUAACUACGUGCCAGCAGCCGCCGUAAGAC
rnacentral:rRNA from 1 species